GACGAACGCUGGCGGCGUGCUUAACACAUGCAAGUCGAACGGAAAGGCCCUGCUUUUGUGGUGUGCUCGAGUGGCGAACGGGUGAGUAACACGUGAGUAACCUGCCCUUGACUUUGGUAUAACUUCAGGAAACUGGGGCUAAUACCGGAUAGGAGCUCCUGCUGCAUGGUGGGGGUUGGAAAGUUUCGGCGGUUGGGGAUGGACUCGCGGCUUAUCAGCUUGUUGGUGGGGUAGUGGCUUACCAAGGCUUUGAAGGGUAGCCGGCCUGAGAGGGUGACCGGCCACAUUGGGACUGAGAGACGGCCCAGACUCCUACGGGAGGCAGCAGUGGGGAAUAUUGCACAAUGGGCGGAAGCCUGAUGCAGCAACGCCGCGUGCGGGAUGACGGCCUUCGGGUUGUAAACCGCUUUCGCCUGUGACGAAGCGUGAGUGACGGUAAUGGGUAGAGAAGCACCGGCUAACUACGUG
rnacentral:rRNA from 1 species